AAAGUCGUGGUAGAAAUUCAAGGAACUAAUAAAAAGCACGGUCUUAUAUUUUGGGGGACAUAGGCAGGGUUUAUUUUACCGAUUUUCUUUCAUUCGUGACAAGAGGAAUCUGAAAGAGAGAAUUUGAGGAAGAAGAUGAUUUAUCGGAAGUGGAGUCUCCUUACCGGUCCGGUCACCAUCCUUGGCGGCGUAGUUGUCGCCAUUGCCGCCGCAAACGUCAUAUUCGUCAAGAAUGAUCCGUUCCUCAAACCCGAUGUGAGAAAGUAUGAAAAUCAACCUGCUACCAAGUAGGAGGAAAGAGAUAACGGAAGUUUAUGUUUUGAUGUCAGCUAAACCCUGAUUUAUGAGCUCUGUAUACUGUUUUGCAAGACAUGCUGUCUAGUUAAUAAGACUGAGAUUGCCAAUGAAGUUUGGACUCUGAAGCUUGGACCCUUAUUUUAGAACUAAGCUUCCAAAGUUCGGGAAAACUGGUUCAUUUUUCAGAGAUCCGUACUUAUCUCUUCAGUAUAAUGUCAACUGCAAAUGUUUAAUGUGGUUUCUAAUCUUCCAUUUCUUUCUUUAUCUCUAUCAAUUUACUGUUAUCGCUUGCAUUUUUGGAUUA